AGGGAAUUUUCGGCAAUGGGCGAAAGCCUGACCGAGCAAUGCCGCGUGAAUGAUGAAGAUCUUCGGAUUGUAAAGUUCUGUUGUUAGGGAAGAACAUAUUGACGAGUGGAAAGCGUCAAUACUGACGGUACCUAACUAGAAAGCCCCGGCUAAAUAUGUGCCAGCAGCCGCGGUAAUACAUAUGGGGCGAGCGUUAUCCGGAAUUAUUGGGCGUAAAGCGUGCGUAGGCGGUUUGUUAAGUCUGGUGUGAAAUUUCACGGCUUAACCGUGAAGGGUCAUUGGAAACUGGCAAACUUGAGUACGGUAGGGGUAAGUGGAAUUCCAAGUGGAGCGGUGGAAUGCGUAGAGAUUUGGAGGAACACCAGUGGCGAAGGCGGCUUACUGGGCCGGAACUGACGCUGAUGCACGAAAGCGUGGGGAGCAAAC
rnacentral:rRNA from 1 species